UACAGAGGGUGCGAGCGUUAAUCGGAAUUACUGGGCGUAAAGCGCACGUAGUCGGCUUUGCAAGUCGGGUGUGAAAUCCCCGGGCUCAACCUGGGAACUGCAUCCGAGACUGCAUUGCUAGAGUAUGGGAGAGGGAAGCGGAAUUUCUGGUGUAGCAGUGAAAUGCGUAGAUAUCAGGAGGAACACCGAUGGCGAAGGCAGGUCUCUGGGCUGACACUGACGCUCAUGCACGAAAGCGUGGGGAGCAAACAGG
rnacentral:rRNA from 1 species